rnacentral:rRNA from 1 species
UGCGUAGGUGGGUCUGUAAGUCAGUGGUGAAAUCUCCGAGCUUAACUCGGAAACUGCCAUUGAUACUAUAGGUCUUGAAUCAUCUGGAGGUAAGCGGAAUAUGUCAUGUAGCGGUGAAAUGCUUAGAUAUGACAUAGAACACCAAUUGCGAAGGCAGCUUACUACGGGUGUAUUGACACUGAGGCACGAAAGCGUGGGGAUCAAACAGGAUUAGAUACCCUGGUAGUCC